rnacentral:rRNA from 1 species
UACGUAGGGGGCAAGCGUUGUCCGGAUUUAUUGGGCGUAAAGAGCGUGUAGGCGGCCUGGCAGGUCAGCUGUGAAAACUCGAGGCUCAACCUCGAGACGCCGGUGGAAACCAUCAGACUAGAGUCCGGAAGAGGAGAGUGGAAUUCCUGGUGUAGCGGUGAAAUGCGCAGAUAUCAGGAAGAACACCCGUGGCUAAGGCGGCUCUCUAGUACGGUACUGACGCUGAGACGCGAAAGCGUGGGGAGCGAACAGG